rnacentral:lncRNA from 1 species
CAAAUUUACUUGAGCAAAUGACUGUGGAGCAGCCAUGCAGCUAUUUUGCCUUCUGGAACAGUGAUCUUAUCAAAUGUACGUGAGAACGAUGCAUCUGUGGAAACUCUGAAGUCAAAAGAUCCUGGAAAAGACAAAGAAUUGAAAUCUCCAGCUGCUACAAAAGAUAAAGAACACACUAAAGAAAAGGAAGGAAAGAAUCCUGCAGCUUUAAAAGAUAAAGAGUCUCUGAAAGGAAAAAAUCCCAAGAAUCCAGAGGGGUCAAAGGAUAAAGAGACUGGUAAAAGAAAAGAUGUGAGGCCUUCAGCAGUCUUAAAGGAAAAGGGAAAAGAAAUGAAGGUUUUGACUACAACUAAGGAGAAAGCUACGGUGAAAAAGGAAGGGGAGAAGAAAGGUACUUCAGAAAAAACUCAUGAACACAAACCUGCAAAUAUUAAACAUGAAAAAGCUAUCUCUCAGAUGAAGCCAGAGGAGAAAAUUAAACAACCAAAGACAGCUCCCACUGAGAAGUCAGGUAGGAACAAGUCAUUCUUUCCUGAUUUAUGGGGGGGUGAGGGGGGUUUAAACACUGUUCAGAUUUUUCUGAUGUAG